rnacentral:rRNA from 1 species
CGGUGACAGGUGGUGCAUGGUUGUCGUCAGCUCGUGUCGUGAGAUGUUGGUUAAGUCCCGCAACGAGCGCAACCCUCGACCUUAGUUGCCAGCAUUCAGUUGGGCACUCUAAGGUGACUGCCGGCUAAAAGUCGGAGGAAGUGGGGAUGACGUCAAAUCAUCAUGCCCCUUAUGACCUGGGCUACACACGUGCUACAAUGGGCGGUACAAAGGGUCGCGAACCCGCGAGGGGGAGCCAAUCCCAAAAAGCCGCUCUCAGUUCGGAUUGCAGGCUGCAACUCGCCUGCAUGAAGCCGGAAUCGCUAGUAAUCGCGGAUCAGCAUGCCGCGGUGAAUACGUUCCCGGGCCUU